rnacentral:rRNA from 1 species
AGAGUUUGAUCCUGGUUCAGGACUAACGCUAGCGGCGUGUCUUAGCCAUGCAAGUCGCACGGGCUUAUAGCAAUAUAAGUCAGUGGCAAACGGGUGAGUAACACGUGGGUAAUCUACCUUUAGGUGUCGCAUAACAGGGGGAAACUCUUGCUAAUUCGACAUAAUAUCCUUUUUGCAUAUGCAGAGAGGAUCAAAGCGGGGGACCGUAAGGCCUCGCGCCAAAAGAUGAGCCCGCGGCCCAUUAGCUAGUUGGCGGGGUAACGGCCCACCAAGGCUUCGAUGGGUAGCCGGCCUGAGAGGGUAACCGGCCACAUUGGAACUGAGACACGGUCCAGACUCCUACGGGAGGCAGCAGGCUAGAAAAUUGGGCAAUGGGCGCAAGCCUGACCCAGUGACGCCGCGUGAAUGAUGACGGCCUUCGGGUUGUAAAGUUCUUUAGACAGGGAAGAUGGGGUGUAAUGCUAACAUCAUUGCACCUUGACGUUGUACCUGUAGAAUAAGCUCCGGCUAACUCCGUGCCAGCAGCCGCGGUAAUAC